rnacentral:rRNA from 1 species
UGGGGAAUCUUGCGCAAUGGGCGAAGGCCUGACGCAGCCAUGCCGCGUGAAUGAUGAAGGUCUUAGGAUUGUAAAAUUCUUUCACCGGGGACGAUAAUGACGGUACCCGGAGAAGAAGCCCCGGCUAACUUCGUGCCAGCAGCCGCGGUAAUACGAAGGGGGCUAGCGUUGCUCGGAAUUACUGGGCGUAAAGGGAGCGUAGGCGGACAUUUAAGUCAGGGGUGAAAUCCCGGGGCUCAACCUCGGAAUUGCCUUUGAUACUGGGUGUCUUGAGUAUGAGAGAGGUGUGUGGAACUCCGAGUGUAGAGGUGAAAUUCGUAGAUAUUCGGAAGAACACCAGUGGCGAAGGCGACACACUGGCUCAUUACUGACGCUGAGGCUCGAAAGCGUGGGGAGCAAACAGG